rnacentral:rRNA from 10 species
GUUUAAAAAAAAAGAAAAAAAAGCACGCCCGAUCUCGUCUGAUCUCGGAAGCUAAGCAGGGUCGGGCCUGGUUAGUACUUGGAUGGGUGACCGCCUGGGAAUACCAGGUGUUGUAAGCU